UAGGGAAUUUUCCACAAUGGGCGAAAGCCUGAUGGAGCAACGCCGCGUGCAGGAUGAAUGCCUUCGGGUUGUAAACUGCUUUUAUCUGUGACGAAUAUGACGGUAGCAGAUGAAUAAGGAUCGGCUAACUCCGUGCCAGCAGCCGCGGUCAUACGGAGGAUCCAAGCGUUAUCCGGAAUUACUGGGCGUAAGGAGUUGCGUAGGUGGCAGAGUAUGUCUGUAGUGAAAGCGUUCGGCUCAACCGAAUAAACAUUAUGGAAACUGCUCGGCUAGAGGACGAGAGAGGUUAUUGGAAUUCCCAGUGUAGGAGUGAAAUCCGUAGAUAUUGGGAGGAACACCGAUGGCGUAGGCAGAUAACUGGCUCGUUCCUGACACUAAGGCACGAAAGCGUGGGGAGCAAAC
rnacentral:rRNA from 1 species